GACAGAGGGUGCAAACGUUGUUCGGAUUUACUGGGCGUAAAGCGCGUGUAGGCGGCUUUGCAAGUCGGAUGUGAAAUCCCACGGCUCAACCGUGGAACGGCUGGGUAUACUGCGCUUCUUGGGCCAACUAGGGGCAGCCGGAACAAGCGGUGGAGCGGUGAAAUGCGUAGAUAUCAGGAGGAACACCGGUGGCGAAGGCGGGUCUCUGGGCCGAUAUCGACGCUGAGGAGCGAAAGCGUGGGGAGCGAACAGG
rnacentral:rRNA from 1 species